GAUGAACGCUAGCUACAGGCUUAACACAUGCAAGUCGAGGGGAAACGGCAUUAAGUGCUUGCACUUUUUGGACGUCGACCGGCGCACGGGUGAGUAACGCGUAUCCAACCUUCCCAUGACUAAGGGAUAACCUGCCGAAAGGCAGACUAAUACCUUAUGGUCUUCACUGACGGCAUCAGAUGUGAAGUAAAGAUUUAUCGGUUAUGGAUGGGGAUGCGUCUGAUUAGCUUGUUGGCGGGGUAACGGCCCACCAAGGCAACGAUCAGUAGGGGUUCUGAGAGGAAGGUCCCCCACAUUGGAACUGAGACACGGUCCAAACUCCUACGGGAGGCAGCAGUGAGGAAUAUUGGUCAAUGGGCGAGAGCCUGAACCAGCCAAGUAGCGUGCAGGAUGACGGCCCUAUGGGUUGUAAACUGCUUUUGUAUGGGGAUAAAGUCAAUCACGUGUGAUUGUUUGCAGGUACCAUACGAAUGAGGACCGGCUAAUUCCGUG
rnacentral:rRNA from 1 species